rnacentral:rRNA from 1 species
UACGUAGGGACCGAGCGUUGUCCGGAAUCAUUGGGCGUAAAGAGCGUGUAGGCGGCCACUUAAGUCCUGCGUGAAAUCCUUGCGGCUCAACCGCAAGCGGUCGUGGGAAACUGGGUGGCCUAGAGUGCGGGAGAGGAGAGUGGAAUUCCUGGUGGUAGCGGUGGAAUGCGCAGAUAUCAGGAAGGAACACCCGUGGCGAAGGCGGCUCUCUCGGAACGCAACUGACGCUGAGACGCGAAAACGUGGGGAGCAAACAGGGAUAGAAAC